rnacentral:lncRNA from 1 species
UUUAAUCUGUCGUUCUCCUCCAGACAGUAUGUUAACGGUCUUCUCCCAGGCCAGUACCCAUAGUGUUAAAUCUGUCUGUUCUCCUCCAGGCCAGUACCCAGUAGUGUUAAUCUGUCUGUUCUCCUCCAGGCCAGUAGUGUUAAUCUGUCUGUUCUCCUCCAGACCAGUACCCAGUAGUGUUAAUCUGUCUGUUCUCCUCCAGACAGUACCCAGUAGUGUUAAUCUGUCUGUUCUCCUCCAGACCAGUAGUGUUUAAUCUGUCUGUUCUCCUCCAGACCAGUACCCAGU